GCCCAAACCCACCCGAGCCGUAACCCUAGGUCUGUCCUCAUGGACAUUUUCCACCCACCUCCCCGCAUCCAUUCUUUCUUUUUUUUCUCCCCCCUCAGAUCCUCACCCAUCUCCCCCGAUGCAGAUCCUCCUCACCCCCUCGUCGCCGCCACCCACCUCCGCCGCCGCCCUCACUCCCCCCUCGUCUCCCUCGUCCUCGACCAACCUCGCCACCGUGCAGGGGCUGGGUUGUUGCCGCGUGCUGUUCCUGCGGGUUGUCGCUGCGGGGGGCGGCUCCCAUGAUUCAAUCCAAUCCUCUCCCCUGAUCCCACCUGCCGGCGGUGACCUCCUCCCAACCAGCCCCACCGGCAGCCUCUAGAUCCAAGCCAGCAGCUACCAGCUCAGGCCAGCGUGCGCUUUGCUUCGUCGUUCCCCACCCUAGCAGUCGAUCCUGGAUGCCCCUGCUUCACCGGCCUCCUCCAUCUCUUCCGGCAAGAUCUGACGCCCCCGCCCACCUUCUGCCCGCGGAGGAUGACGAGGGCGAGGAUGCGGAAGUCGGCGAGGGGGGAGGCGGCGGCGGGAUGUGCCCGGUGGCCAUCCGGUGGCCCUGCGUCACCUGCGCCCUCAAGAACAAGCGCGGGGACAUGGUGAGUUGCUCUGGUUGGCGCUGCCGCCCCGUACCUUGGUGUCGCCUCUACCACGCCCGCUUCCCCUAGCCGGGACAUCACUUUCCUUGCUACUGCCACUCCGCUCCGCCACCUGCGAGUCGCUGACUGUUGGGAUCCAAGGUACGUGGAGGCUGGGAGCGCCAAGGCACACCUCACGGAUGCGGACGUUGAUCAUGGUGUACCAGCUUUGCAAGGGCGUUGCUUUUUGCCACGGAUGUGGUGUCCGGCACCAUAACCUCGAGCCACACAACCUGCAUAUUGGUGGAUGGAUUGGUAUCCUCUGGUUUGAUCCCAGCAAGAGGAAGUGUUCUCUUCUCUUUAUCAACCAAAGGCACUUUCUUCUCUCAUGGAUGGAUGUGACUCCAUCAAUUUAGUACCAGUUUAGGUGUUAUUAUGCUAUUGAUGCUUGUGUUGACCAUGGUUUUUGUCUUGUCAUGUGCUGAUAUUAACUGGUAGCAUCAGCUCCCAUGAUUGCUUGCUUGCUUACUCUAUAACCUGUACUGCUAAAACAUGUUAUCCUACUCCAUGAUGCUGUAUCAUUUGCAAAUACUCCUGGACAUCAGCUCCCAUGAUGUUGCAUUAGCUAUAUUCUGUACUGCUAAAAGAGGAGUAUAAACUGGAGUAAUUUUUUCAGCCAUUAUCUUUGUUUUCUUUUGGGCAGAUGCUCUCCACUGGAGUACAACUGGGUACUGCAUCUCUUUUUGCAUUCCUUCUUCAGUCAGUGCUUGAACAUUUUUUUUAAAAGAUGAAUUGGAAUACUCCUGGACAGUAGUACAAGGAGUAUACCUGUAACUUCUUGCAGUAUAGCUGUAGCAGUCCAUUAGGAGUAGUUUUGCAUCAGUAGCAUUAUGAGUAUCUUCUUGCAGAAACUCUUUGACACAAAUAUUGUCAUGCAUCAGUAGCAUGUUUGCUUGUUUUGGAGCAGUGAUUAAUUACUUGUAAUGUUUUUCUUGUACGAGAAACAUGUCGAGCUGCUCUCCAACCCUGUGGAAUGUUGCAAUCAAAUAUUCUCUGAUGUC